UCUCUGGCAGUCUUUUCCUUAUGAGCUACCCCAGCAGUGAGGAGCAGCUGGAUGCGCUUUAUGGAGGACUCUAUUGUCAGCUGAAAGACUUCUCUGAAUUGCCAGAAUGAAUCAAUGAACCAGC